CCAGACUCCUACGGGAGGCAGCAGUGGGGAAUCUUCCGCAAUGGGCGAAAGCCUGACGGAGCAACGCCGCGUGAUCGAAUGAAGGCCUUCGGGUUGUAAAGAUCUGUUGACAGGGACGAAUAAGCAAUGCGAAUAGUUUUGUGUAUGACGGUACCUGUUUAGAAAGCUCCGGCUAACUACGUGCCAGCAGCCGCGGUAAUACGGGGGGUGCAAGCGUUGUCCGGAAUCAUUGGGCGUAAAGAGUUCGUAGGCGGCACGUAAAGUCUGGUGUUAAGGGCAGAGGCUCAACUUCUGUACGGCACUGGAUACUUGCGAGCUAGAAUGCGGUAGAGGUAAAGGGAAUUCCUGGUGUAGCGGUGAAAUGCUUAGAUAUCAGGAGGAACAUCGGUGGCGUAAGCGCUUUACUGGGCCGUAAUUGACGCUGAGGAACGAAAGCCAGGGUAGCAAAUGGGAUUAGAUACCCUGGUA
rnacentral:rRNA from 1 species